UACGGAGGAUCCAAGCGUUAUCCGGAUUUAUUGGGUUUAAAGGGUGCGUAGGCGGAUUGAUAAGUUAGAGGUGAAAUGCCCGAGCUCAACUCGGGAACUGCCUCUAAUACUGUUGAUCUAGAGAGUAGAUGCGGUAGGCGGAAUGUAUGGUGUAGCGGUGAAAUGCUUAGAGAUCAUACAGAACACCGAUUGCGAAGGCAGCUUACCAAUCUAUAUCUGACGUUGAGGCACGAAAGCGUGGGGAGCAAACAGG
rnacentral:rRNA from 1 species